UUGCACUUGGAAGUGGAAACCAAAUCAGUUGAUUGCUUUCUUCGAUAAUGGGAUCUUCAUCCUCCAAGAAACUGGAGUUUGGUUAUGUCAUAAGCGGAUCAAGAAUUGUAUGGUCUCGAUUAUUUGAAAUAAUACCAUUAUACAAUAAAA